rnacentral:rRNA from 1 species
CCUACGGGUGGCAGCAGUGAGGAAUAUUGGUCAAUGGACGCAAGUCUGAACCAGCCAUGCCGCGUGCAGGAUGACGGCUCUAUGAGUUGUAAACUGCUUUUGUACGGGGGUAAACCCCCAUACGUGUACCGGGUUGAAAGUACCGUACGAAUAAGGAUCGGCUAACUCCGUGCCAGCAGCCGCGGUAAUACGGAGGAUCCGAGCGUUAUCCGGAUUUAUUGGGUUUAAAGGGUGCGUAGGCGGUUUGAUAAGUCAGAGGUGAAAUGUCGGGGCUCAACCCCGGAACUGCCUCUGAUACUGGUGGACUAGAGAGUAGUUGAGGUAGGCGGAAUGUAUGGUGUAGCGGUGAAAUGCUUAGAGAUC